AGUUCGUUUUCUUCUCGAGCAUACAUACAUACAGAGUCUUCAUUCCGAUGAUGAUGAUCCGUAGAGACGUUGAAGUGAUAGGAAGUUAAUGAUCAUCUCUGCAACAUCCGUGAGAGUAAGCAUGAUCAGAGCCAGAAGCUUAUCAUCGUUUCGAUGAUUGAAUGAUCUCCAUCGACCAGGUUCGUAAUAUUUGUCUUUUGUUUUUUUUUAUCUUGAGCAUUGAAUUUGUGUGGUAUGAUUAUGAAACAAAGACGACAUUACUGACUCUGAUGGAUUUGUUUUGUACGUGUGUAUUUGUGUGGUAUGAUUAUUUGGAUGUUCUCUCUCUUUCGUUAAAACGACAACCGAGUCGCCUCUUGAUGCUCAAGAGUUAAGAUCACAGCCUUUUUGCAGGGUUCUUACAGCGAAUUUGGUGGUGAAUUGAUCAGUACUUCGUGUGGAAAACUGUUGAGAAAUCUCAUUGGUGUUUAAAAGAUCAAGUGGUAUAUGGUUGAAGAAGAUGAUAAUGUAGUCACUUUUAUCAAGCUUUUGGAUCCAACGAAGAAGAUGAUACUGUAGCUACUUUAAAAAUUAAUUUCAUAUCUGGUUUACGUCGGUUCUAUCGGGUUUGGUUUGUAAACCGGUUAAACCAAAAAAUUGGAGAAAUAGAUGAGAACUAUCGGAUUCGGGUGGAAAUGAGUUUAGAACUAUCGACUCGGUGAGACAUGGAAUGAGGUUGAAGUUCUGCGUAGAUUUAGUACGAUGCGAUAGUUUUUGGGGAGAAAUAGGACGUUAAUCCCAUCCAGUACCUUUGUGGUCCGUAAGUUUGGUGUAAAAGUUCAACAUGUUUUCACGUAUUUUAAAUUUAACGCUAAGGUUUAAGGUUUUACACAAA